GCCAUAUGGAAUACAGACGCGGUUCGACAUGCUCAUUGUUUGAUGGAAACGGACUUGCUAACAAAACGAUAGGACAAGCCGUGGGAGAUUGGUUUUUCGACCGGAGCGAGUUCCAGGAGAUGGACAUGCUCAAUGACUUACCACGGAACUGCAAUGGCUUCAACGACCAACCUACUUUCGAGAAAAAGUGUAGGGAUUAUUAUAUUCAUCAUUAGAUGCCAUGAGUUGAUAGCUUGUGAAUUUGAAUUCUAAUUUCAAUUAUGAAUGAAGUGUAAAGUCUAAUUUCAA